rnacentral:lncRNA from 1 species
CCCUGCUUCACUGUAAGCUUUCGAGCAACAGAAACUAGGCUAAGAUUGCAGCCUGCAGAGACUCCAAGCGGAGUCGGAGAAAUUUGGCCUCGUUUUAAUAGGGCUGAGGAAUGAACUCCGGAGGUCAAUAAAGCCCUCCAAAAAUGAUGAAUGAUUGAGCACCUGUGAUGAUGAUAGUGAUUACCAGAGCAAUUAAACAGUUUGAUUAAAUGAGCCAUCAUAACAAUGAUGUCUGCGGGAAAUCGGCCCUCACAUAUAAAGAAAGAUAGUGCGAAGGGGCUGGCAGAGGCGCGGAUAGCGCGACGCCAGGGAGAGGGGCUGCGGGCCGCGAGGUUUCUGCCCAAUGGCCCGAGCAGGGACGGCCAGACUCACGGAGCUUCAGGGAGGAGAGUGUAGCCCAGGUUUUCAGCCACUCUUUUUUGCCGGGCUUCAAGCCUGCUAGAGCCGACGGGUAGGAAAUCUGAAGGUUGGGGGGAGGGUACUUCCUCCACGUCCUCUUUUUUUUCCUAGAAGAACUCCAAGAUUAAAAGUAUCCUUAUUUGUUGCUGAGUUGCUCGUCGACAUUUAAGAGAAGGAUCUUCCUUUGUCUCCCAGCCUGGAAUGCAGUGGCACAAUCACUGCUCACUGCAGCCUUGACCGUCUGGACUCAAGUGAUUCUCCUACUUCAACCUCCCAAGUAGCUGGGACUACAGUCAUGCACCAUCAUGCCUAUAAAGAUAAUUUAAUUUAUAAUAAAUUAUUUAUACAAACAAUAACAUUCAGUAUAUUUUUCCAAGACCUUGAUAAAAUAUGAUAGUGGUAUUCUUUUCUUGCCAUAUAUACUCAACCAUUCAAUUCAACCAACAAAUACCAUGAUGAUUGUGUGCUACUCUACAUGUUAAGGGGGUGUCAUGUACAA